CCAUUUUGAAAUAUGUGGCAACGUUGCUUGAGUUUUGUGAACCGCCAUCAGUCGCCAUUUGCUAGUUCAUUGUCGUGUGUGAAACAUGUGGUGUGCAUCUGACGGGCGAAAUAUUGGACACAUCAGGCAGCAAUGGGAAUAUCACAAGUUGUGAACAAGAUGUGGUGCCUUGGCCCUCGUUCUCUCAUCUCCAUGCCAGAUGGCCAUUAAGAAGGAUCAUAAAUGUGUGGCAAUAUCAUUCUUCCAUAUUCCACUAUUGUAUUAUUCUUUGCCAUUAUUUUCAUCUCAUACCAUGAACACAAGAAGAAUUUAUUUGCUUGCCAUCAUGGAUGGUAACUCGUGUCCUUAAAAGAUUGUGGAGACAAACAUUGUGGUUCUAGCGGUUUCCUUAGUUAGG